CUCUUCUGGAGAUCCACUCCACUGGAGUUUCCCAUGUGAGCCUAGGUUAUGCUCACAUAUUACCUGAUGCGGGACUAAUGAGUUUCAUUCCAGGAAGUCCAGUGUUCAGCCUUAAAUAAGGAAAACGAGGUUUUGAAAUGUGGACGUGAUAAUACUGCUGCCAUGUAGGAGAGAAUGUCCUCUUUUUGUCAAAGUCACAGUUGGUAUGGCCACCUCCGAUAAUACUAAUCGCAGAAAAUACUUCUGAGGAUCCUUGUGAGGAACAUCACACAUCUUCUUUUUCCACUUCUGUAGUGGAAUUAAACAUGGAAACUACAUAUCUAUGCAGAAUAUUUUGGUAUUUGAAUUGUUUUUAAAAAUGCAAUUUCUUGAGAGAAGUCAGGUAAGCAGUUUGCUAAUGCUGUGUGCUGUUACCUUUCAAUGAGGUUGAAGAAACCAGGUUCAGAUUAGGGAGGACUUCCAUCUGUUCUUUACACUGUCUGGGCAGAGAUAAUUUAGAUCCAAAAGCCUUUCGUUGAAAUUGAAACUAUAUAAAUAAGCCCUCCCUCAGAGAAGGUUGUUCUGACAUGGAUGUAGCAGCUUUGGAAUUGCAGUUGGUUUUCAUUAAUUUAAUCCACAGAAAGAAUACUGAAAGAAUAGUGUGGGCUCUAUUUGCACACAUCAAUAGAUAUUUAAAUCUCUUUGCAACUUUAAAACUGCUUGAAGGUGCUUGGAAAGAAGUUCAUUUGUUUACCCUCGGUAAAAAUAUAAUUCUUCCCUUUUGCAUGUUUGUCUGUUAUUUUUGCAUUUGUGCAACAAGUACUGGCUUUGAUUUCUAGUCUGCUUCUGUUUCCUUUGUUGUUUUGUGCAACUGAUGGAUCGGGGGUGGGGGGGGAAGGAUUUGUGACCAGAGGUGAGGAAAGGGAGAUAAAAUCCAAAAAAUAUCUUCUCUCCAACUCUGAUGCUACAGUGAAUGUUACAACUACUCCAGUCAUCUCUUCCACUAUAAAUAGGUGAAAUUAGAGUUCAACUUACUACUGUUCAGCCUUUAUUUGUCGUUAGGAUGUGAUCAUUAUAAAACAGUGGACAUCAAAAUAAGAAAUUUUCCAGACUGACAUGCUUUGGGAAAGGGAAAUCACAGUGUCUAACUAGGUGAGGUUAUGUUGUUCGCUAUUCUUCUGAAACCUGCUAGAUACGGGUACAAAUAUCACUCAUGACUAUUGUUAUGAAAGAAAUUGAGUUGACAGAUAUUAAUGUGAAGGAAAAGUGUAAGUGAAGGAAAAAGUGCAGUAAGUAAGGUUGAAUUGUUUCAUGAACAAUCAUUAAAUGAUGAUCUAUUUAUACUUGGAAUUUUACAUUUGGUCUUCAAUGUAACAUCAAAUAAAAACUGAUCAGUUGCCAUAAAUGUUGGAGUGAAGAAAAAUACACACAAAAUAGAACUCAAAUUAUACUGACAUGAGAAAAAAAUAAUCUGCUGGUAGCAGCUGACAGAAGAAUUUAUGUUAGUGCAAUAAAGAAGCUAGAUUCCUUUGCAGAGUCUCUUCAUAUUUUAUACUGAGUCUUGCUUUCAUUUGACUUGGUAAAGAAGGAGGUCAGUCUAUAAGUAGCAUCCUGUGAAAUUAGCAAGAAUAUACUGCCAGUCAGUGAAAACUGAUGUAACACUAUUGAUGUUAACAGAAAUAAAUAGUGAAAUAUUGUGGUGAUGACCUAUAACCAAAGUUUACUGAUUUGAGUUCUAUUUCUGUUGGUUUAAAGUUGUUGUUGACAAACUUCUAUCUCAGAAAUAUAUUUCUAUGAAUAAGUACUUUUCCUUUUCAUAACUCCCUAGAAUUUGAAUGUGUUGAUGAAUAAAAGAUUCAUGUUUAUUCUUUAGCAAAAGAUAGGAAAAUAGCAAAAAUUAGCUUCAUGCACUUCUAUUAUAUGUUGAGCCACAUUCUGUCACCUUUGACAUGUCUGGUGCCCAGCCAUCAAUGAUAAAAAGAACAGGAGAUAAGGAGAAAAAAAAUUAUCUUUUGCUAAAACACUGGUAAGUGUAGUAUUUCCUUCUCUGUCAUCUGAGAUUUUUGUGCUUGCACUGUUUUGUCUCUCUUGCAUUUAGAUAUGAAUAUAUUCUGCUCUUUCACUGACCAGCAUAAGGUGGAUGUUGUCAUUCUCUCCAGAAAAUACCUACCAAAUUACUGAGAAAUUAUCUUAAGUUCUGAAAGGCAUAUUUCAGUGUACCUAUGUAACUUUCCAAAAUCCUGAAACAAGAAACUGAAAUGAAGUGUAAUUUGUUUGAUACUGUCUCUUUUGAAGGAAGAUGGACUUACUUGCUUUCCAGAUCUCCAUCCUUCUCCCUCACAUUCACUUUUUUGUUGUUCUGGUUGAAAAAUGUUUUACAUAUACUGUAAUGUUAGAGUAGAGUAGUCCAACUUUUUCUCUAUUUUGAUCUAACUUCUAAUUUUGGUGGUCUAGAAAUAAAACUUGCAAGUGCAACUCUGUCACCUUAGUUUCUGUCUAAUUUGAAAAGUAACCCCUGUCAUCUCCCUAAGGGUGUUAAAUAAUAGAUGUUUAGUUUAGAUGCUGUACUGAGGGACAUAAUUUAGUGGGGAAAUAUUGGUGGUAGGUUGGAGUAGAUGAUCUUGAAGGUCAUUUACAACGUUGGCGAUUCUUUGAUUCUGUGAUUCUAAUAGAGUAAUGUUAGUACAUGCUUCUCCUUUGUCUCACCAUUGCAGUGAAACUUCAGAGCCAGGAUACAGAAUUCAGGUCACCACCAAGCUCAUGCAAGUGGCAGUAAACAUCAAUGCCAAACAAGAUGUAAAUAGAGUUUCCACUGAUGUCACUGUAUAAAGUUAUGUUUGUAACAUGGCAUGUUAAAAAUGAAACGUUAAAUCAUAUAAGUCUAUCAUUGUGCUUCAGAAGAAAAAAACUGAAAUAUAUGACUUCUUGGAGUAAAGAUAUCUGGGUGUGGGUAAGAUUGAAUGACAUGUGACGUACUGAUUGCAGUACAGUAUUUUUUCAGUAUACAUAAAAUUGAAUAAAAAACAUUCUUUUGCUAUGAAUGAAAUAGGAAGUCAUUGGAAAUGUUUCAUUUGUGUUUUUACAUUAGAUAACUUUGCUUUUUUUUUUUGAAAUACGUAUUUGGGUCUAAAACCAGUUUGAAAUUCCAAGUAACUCCAGAUUUUUUUUUGUGAUCAUUGAAAGCACCUCUAGAAGAUUAUCUGAGAGAUUUGACAAAAAAAGAUAGUAAUGUUAAUGAAUUAUGUUAAAGUUAGUGGAGCCACCAGCAACUGCAAAAUUAAAUUUCAGCUAUUUAGUGUCAUUAGACCUGCUGAACAUUGUUCAGAUACAGCUCGUUGAGCAAUAAUAUAUGCUGUCUGGUUUGUAAGUAUACUGGUAAUUGGACAAACAGUAUUUGGCAGUACCCUAGAAUUCCAUAUUUGUGCUUAGGUGUAU